GACGAACGCUGGCGGCGUGCUUAACACAUGCAAGUCGAACGGUAAGGCCCUUCGGGGUACACGAGUGGCGAACGGGUGAGUAACACGUGGGUGAUCUGCCCUGCACUUCGGGAUAAGCCUGGGAAACUGGGUCUAAUACCGGAUAGGACCACUGCCUGCAUGGGUGGUGGUGGAAAGCUUUUGCGGUGUGGGAUGGGCCCGCGGCCUAUCAGCUUGUUGGUGGGGUGAUGGCCUACCAAGGCGACGUCGGGUAGCCGGCCUGAGAGGGUGACCGGCCACACUGGGACUGAGAUACGGCCCAGACUCCUACGGGAGGCAGCAGUGGGGAAUAUUGCACAAUGGGCGCAAGCCUGAUGCAACGACGCCGCGUGAGGGAUGACGGCCUUCGGGUUGUAAACCUCUUUCAGCACCGACGAAGCGCAAGUGACGGUAGGUGCAGAAGAAGGACCGGCCAACUACGUGCCAGCCGCCGCGGUAA
rnacentral:rRNA from 1 species